rnacentral:tRNA from 1 species
GAGGGUGUAGCUCAGUGGUACAGUGCGUGCUUAGCAUGCACAAGGUCUUGGGUUCAAUCCCCAGUACUUCCA